rnacentral:rRNA from 1 species
GAUGAACGCUGGCGGCGUGCCUAAUACAUGCAAGUCGAGCGAACGGACGAGAAGCUUGCUUCUCUGAUGUUAGCGGCGGACGGGUGAGUAACACGUGGAUAACAUACCUAUAAGACUGGGAUAACUUCGGGAAACCGGAGCUAAUACCGGAUGAUAUUUUGAACCGCAUGGUUCAAAAGUGAAAGACGGUCUUGCUGUCACUUAUAGAUGGAUCCGCGCUGCAGUAGCUAGUUGGUAAGGUAACGGCUUACCAAGGCAACGAUGCAUAGCCGACCUGAGAGGGUGAACGGCCACACUGGAACUGAGACACGGUCCAGACUCCUACGGGAGGCAGCAGUAGGGAAUCUUCCGAGAUGGGCGGAAUCCUGACGGAGCAGCGCCGCGUGAGUGAUGCAGGUCUUCGGAUCGUAAAACUCUGUUAUUAGGGAAGACCAUAUGUGUAAGUAACUGUGCACAUCUUGACGGUACCUAAUCAGAAAGCCACGGCUAACUACGUG